UCCUUCGUCAUCAUAGCCAUCAUGUCCUGUUCUUCGGUACUGGCCCUGUUUGCCAUAUUCAUGCUCAUCAUGUCCAGUUGCUAACAAUUGGCUAUGAUUGUGUUGGAUUGGUGGGUUUACUCCCGACUAACCCUGAAUGUAUCUUACAAGUAUAAGAAAAGAAGAAGUGACUAGCAAGAUUGUCUCUGUUUUUUUUGUC
rnacentral:sRNA from 1 species